rnacentral:rRNA from 1 species
UGGGGAAUAUUGCACAAUGGGCGAAAGCCUGAUGCAGCAACGCCGCGUGCGGGAUGACGGCCUUCGGGUUGUAAACCGCUUUCAGCAGGGACGAAGGUUUUCUGACGGUACCUGCAGAAGAAGCACCGGCUAACUACGUGCCAGCAGCCGCGGUGAUACGUAGGGUGCGAGCGUUGUCCGGAAUUAUUGGGCGUAAAGAGCUUGUAGGCGGUCCGUUGCGUCGGAAGUGAAAACUCAGGGCUUAACCCUGAGCCUGCUUUCGAUACGGGCGGACUUGAGGGAUGUAGGGGAGAACGGAAUUCCUGGUGGAGCGGUGGAAUGCGCAGAUAUCAGGAGGAACACCAGUGGCGAAGGCGGUUCUCUGGACAUUUCCUGACGCUGAGAAGCGAAAGCGUGGGGAGCAAACAGGCUUAGAUACCCUGGUAGUCCACGCCGUAAACGGUGGGCACUAGGUGUGGGACCCAUUCCACGGGUUCCGUGCCGUAGCUAACGCAUUAAGUGCCCCGCCUGGGGAGUACGGCCGCAAGGCUAAAACUU